rnacentral:rRNA from 1 species
CCCUUAGAUGUUCUGGGCUGCACGCGCGCUACACUGAAGCUAUCAACACGCUUUCCCUCCCUGAGAAGGGCGGGUAACCUUUUGAAUCAGCUUCGUGGUAGGGAUCGGGGCUUGCAAUUGUUCCCCGUGAACCAGGAAUUCCUAGUAGACGCGAGUCAUAAGCUCGCAUCGAUUAAGUCCCUGCCCUUUGUACACACCGCCCGUCGCUACUACCGAUUGAACGUUUUAGUGAGGCAUUUGGACCGACGCAUCUCAGUUUAACCGCUGGUUUGUGUUGGAAAGACUUCCAAACUUGAGCGUUUAGAGGAAGUAAAAGUCGUAACA